AGAGGAGAUCAGACGACUGAUCACACACCUUCAACAUGGAUUUCGACCUAGCUGCAGCUUGUGAUAAAGAGGGAGGUGAUGUGAAGAAGGCUGAAGGCCAGCAGGUGGAAGGAAUAUUUGGAUUUGGAAAGAAAGAUAAAGAGAAGACUGAAGAUAAGAAGAGCAUAGACAAGGACAAGGAGAAGGACAAGGAGAAGGACAAGGACAAGAGCAAAGACAAAGACAAAGGCAAGGACAAGGAGCACAAGAAGAGUAAAGACAAAGAGCACAAGAAGCACAAGGAGCAUAAAAAGCCCAAGGAGCACAAGAAAAAGGGCGGCCACUCAUCCUCUUCCUCCGGGAGCGAUGAUGAUUAGGUUGGAGAACUGGACUGAGGAGAUGAAAGAUGAUUUCCUCACUACGCACAUAUUUAAUGCCUUUCAAUAGAAGCUGCCUGUGCGUAGUUUAUUUUACAGUCAAAUGCAUACAGCUGAUCAUCAGCUUUUCAUAUCUGUUACUUGUGUCUGAUAUAGCCAGAAAAUGCAGAGAUAUCAAGAAAAUAAUUUUAUAAUCGCAUCAACUUACAGUUAAAAACUCACUAUCUAAUGACUGACAGUGUAAGUCUCAUCUUUUCCACCAGGGGGAGGCAGUUGGGUUUGAAAUGAUUCUGUUAAUAAUUUAAACCUAAUAAAAAACACUCACUAAGUAAUACAUACAGGUAACAAGAGGAACUCAUGUAACACAUUGGGAUUUUUCACAAUACUAUGCACAUUUUAAUGUACUAAGAUUUACAGACAGUGUGACAAAGAUGUUUGUUUUUAAUAAAUGAACUUGUAU
rnacentral:lncRNA from 1 species